GUCAUGGUGGCCGAGUAGUUAAGGCGAGUGAUUUGAACGAAGACAGUAUUAUCACUUGGUGUUUCACCGCGUAGGUUCAAAUCCUGCCCAUGACG